rnacentral:misc_RNA from 1 species
AAUGGAGUGUCUAGGAGCUCGAAACUUCACAGCAAUGGCCGUGUUUUCAUUUCCCGCGGGGAGGUCGAGGAGGAGAACACUGAGAACAAAAAAACAAGGAAGUCUUUCAAACAAACGGUGUCGUUUGUAUCAAGUGAGAGCAAGCAGUGCAGGUAGCGAUAGUUGUGUGGCCAUUAAACAAGAAUUUGCUGAUGAUGAAGAUU